AGCAGUAGCCGCGGUAAUACAGAGGGUGCGAGCGUUAAUCGGAUUUACUGGGCGUAAAGCGUGCGUAGGCGGCUUCUUAAGUCGGAUGUGAAAUCCCUGAGCUUAACUUAGGAAUUGCAUUCGAUACUGGGAAGCUAGAGUAUGGGAGAGGAUGGUAGAAUUCCAGGUGUAGCGGUGAAAUGCGUAGAGAUCUGGAGGAAUACCGAUGGCGAAGGCAGCCAUCAGGCCUAAUACUGACGCUGAGGUACGAAAGCAUGGGGAGCAAACAGGAUUAGAUACCCCUGUAGUCCCUGUCUCUUAUAA
rnacentral:rRNA from 1 species